GGCAGCAUGGCAUAGUGGUUUGAGCAUUAGACUAUUGACUUUGGAGAUCAGGGCUCAAUUCCCUGCUCAGACA